rfam:Triticum urartu cultivar G1812 contig570953, whole genome shotgun sequence.
GUAGUACUCCCUCCAUCCGGAAAUAUUUGUUGGAGAAAUGGAUGUAUCUAGACAUAGUUUAGUUCUACAUACAUUCAUUAUAAUCCAUUGCUGCGACAAGUAAUUCCGAAAGGAGGGAGUAUUAA